UGCGAUGAGCACAUAGCGAACUAUUCUUUCGCCUUUUACUAAAGAAUACCGUGUGCUCGUCGCGCUAAGCGGCAUACGCCUAUUUUUGGAGGGGAUUCGCUCUCUGAGCUAGAACCCCGCAAAUCACUGUCCAAGUUUCCUUUCAAAUUUUCAUUAAACUACGGUAAUUUAGUUGUUUCGGGAUUGUUGUUUGUAUUCGUAAUGACAGCUGCAAAGAUCUCACAUCGGAAUUGAAUGUAAGUAUCCCACAUCGGAAAUCGGAAUCCAGGGUGGCCCAUGAGGCAGAGAACAAAAAGAGCUCGGCUGUGUCCGAGGAAAGGCAUCUUUGCGCUUGGGGCAAUGACGCAGCUAGUGAGGUUCUAACCGAGGCGCGUCUAUUGCUGGUUGAAAACUAUUUCCAAACCCCCUCUUGGGCCUGGGCUCUGUCUCUGGCCUUCGAGAAUUUCUGGAAGGGCUCCCUCCGGGGUAAGGCCCUACAAUUCUUACACGAAAUCUUUGAGAUAAUUAAUUGUCACUGAAGUUGGUAAAAAUCCCACAAAUGUCCUUCAUUGUCGGGGACUAGUAGCUUGAAAAGCCA